rnacentral:rRNA from 1 species
UACAGAGGUCUCAAGCGUUGUUCGGAUUCAUUGGGCGUAAAGGGUGCGUAGGCGGCGCGGUAAGUCGGGUGUGAAAUCUCGGGGCUUAACUCCGAAACUGCAUUCGAUACUGCCGUGCUUGAGGACUGGAGAGGAGACUGGAAUUUACGGUGUAGCGGUGAAAUGCUUAGAUAUCGAGAGGAACACCAGUGGCGAAGGCGAGUCUCUGGACGACUCCUGACACUGAGGCACGAAAGCUGGGGGAGCAAACAGG